AACUUUUGACAAUGGAUCACUUGGCUCUCACAUCAAUGAAGAACGCAGCGAAAUGCAAUAAGUAAUGUGAAUUGCAGAUUUUCAGUGAAUCAUUGAAUCUUUGAACGCACCUUGCACUCCUUGGUAUUCCGAGGAGCAUGCCUGUUUGAGUGGCAUUAAAUCCUCAACCCUCCCUUGUGGGUGUGGCUUGGACUUGGAGCGUGCUGGCGAAGGUUGGCUCCUCUUUAAAUGCAUCAGCAGAAAGCUUUUCUGGCCGUUUGGCGUGAUAACACUGUUGCGCCGUGGAAGCCUCUGUAAAGGCCUCGCUUACAAUCGUCUUCGGACAAAUGACAUCUCAGUGUCAAAUCCACUUUGACCUCAAAUCAGGUAGGACUACCCGCUGAACUUAAGCUAUCAAUAAGCGGAGGCU
rnacentral:misc_RNA from 1 species